rnacentral:rRNA from 1 species
AGCGAACGGACGAGAAGCUUGCUUCUCUGAUGUUAGCGGCGGACGGGUGAGUAACACGUGGAUAACCUACCUAUAAGACUGGGAUAACUUCGGGAAACCGGAGCUAAUACCGGAUAAUAUUUUGAACCGCAUGGUUCAAAAGUGAAAGACGGUCUUGCUGUCACUUAUAGAUGGAUCCGCGCUGCAUUAGCUAGUUGGUAAGGUAACGGCUUACCAAGGCAACGAUGCAUAGCCGACCUGAGAGGGUGAUCGGCCACACUGGAACUGAGACACGGUCCAGACUCCUACGGGAGGCAGCAGUAGGGAAUCUUCCGCAAUGGGCGAAAGCCUGACGGAGCAACGCCGCGUGAGUGAUGAAGGUCUUCGGAUCGUAAAACUCUGUUAUUAGGGAAGAACAUAUGUGUAAGUAACUGUGCACAUCUUGACGGUACCUAAUCAGAAAGCCACGGCUAACUACGUGCCAGCAGCCGCGGUAAUACGUAGGUGGCAAGCGUUAUCCGGAAUUAUUGGGCGUAAAGCGCGCGUAGGCGGUUUUUUAAGUCUGAUGUGAAAGCCCACGGCUCAACCGUGGAGGGUCAUUGGAAACUGGAAAACUUGAGUGCAGAAGAGGAAAGUGGAAUUCCAUGUGUAGCGGUGAAAUGCGCAGAGAUAUGGAGGAACACCAGUGGCGAAGGCGACUUUCUGG